AGAAUCAAUACACGAUUGAAACCCUGCAGAUCAUCGAGCGGACGGAAAUGGAGGAGUUGAAUAACUGGAGAGCUGCUCAGGGAUUACCGCCGUUAUCGCCGAACUGUCCGACGGCCUCAGUACAGCCGGAGAAAGGACACAUUCAUAACGAAAAGAUCGCUAGAGAAGCUUGCAUCGCAAGUUAUCUGCUUAAUUCAUAAUCGAUAGGCCCACCCGCAUAGUAAAAUACAGUUUACCAUGCCUUCCAAACAGUAAAUUCCCUCUAACUGGUAAUGUUACUCUAUGUCAAAUAGGCGAGUUCAUGUUGAAACAUAUGAAUCCGAAAAUUUCGUACCAUAAAUACUAAUUUGAAUCAAGUAUAUCAAAUAGUAACAGUAUGGCAUAGUAUACAUGCACUGUUAAAUAAUAUGGGGAUAAAAGUCGCUCUAAAUUGUAGCAACAUAAACUCACCUUAUAACAUAUGGUUAGCUUUCAUAUUUGAGCAACGCACUCACACCUGUGUGUUUCACUGUGCACAACAUUUGCUCAACAGUUUGGCAAAUUGUAGCGCCCCUUAGGGAUCUUCGUGAAAGCGCAGAGAGGAUUUGCCAGAGCGAAAACUUGGAUCACAAGGUAAGUUAGUUUUGGAACUGUUGAUGAUCGUCUAAUUGAAAUACUCUGGUACUCCGUUGCAGCUUACGUCCUCGAAGGAAAAUGCCACACAUCGGCUGGAGGAACUCAAAAUGUGCUGCAGGAUACAAGGCGAUUAGAAAUCUGCUCCCACCGCAGGAAGUUUUAAUCGCCGCUACCGGGCGUACGAUAGGUAACCUCGCGAGUGGAGGAAUUUCAGCAGCCCUCGGAAUGGCCCGAGAUGCUUCUCCUUCAAUGCAGAUUGCGCUGCUCGAUAUGAUGCGAGGAGGUCUUACGAGAAAGGUAAACCAUCUUUUUCAUCCACAAAUAUGUAUAAUGAUAAAUAUUAAUUGAAUAAAAAAAAUAUCCGGUGAACGCACAACCGCCCUUUUAUUUUUAAACGGUUCAAAUACACAAGACCCAUAUAUCAAAAGCUUAAAAAACCAUGGAAAACCAUAAAUCAAUAAUAACACACAGUGUUCGUUUUUCUUCCAGAUUUAUUGUUAAACUGCUCUCUAACCAUUUUCUAUGCAGUGAAUUGUCUGAAAAACUGGAUAAUAUAUUGACCGUAUUCUUUACUGUAUUGCGAAAAAUUUGUUCGGGAAAACGAGCGAUUUUUUAUGGUUGGUAACCAAUCUUAACCGCCUAUUCCACAUACUGUAAAUUGGUGGAUAACCAUUUGUCAAACUGGCAAAUCUGUACCUGGAAUAGUUAGCUUACUGUUAUCUACAAUAGUUUGAGAAAUGGUUAAAUGACAAUUGCUAAUGGCCAUCUACAGUAUGAGAAACGUUGCAUUUACAGUUUGUGAUUAUGCGGGCAGUUCUCCUGCAAAUGUGCCAAAAGCAGACAUUCAUCUAGUAAUCGACGAUUUCAAGGACCGAUUAGGAAAGCUAACACCAACGGAAAUGCAUCAGAGGGCAUCGGAACUCGGGAGGCUAUUCCCAGGCGAGCCAGAGGUAAUUUAUUAUUAUUUUUUUUUCUAAAAUAGGCUCCGAAUUCCCAUGUGGGAUCCCCAUUUUUGGAAGGAACGACUGAAACUUAAAAAAACUAAUCCUAAACCUGUAAAUAAACAAUUAAAAAAAUAUAUCUACUUUGUUUCUAUUCUAUUUCAUGAAGUUCAACAUAAUACCGCAGUCGCAUCUAAUUUCAUAUCACUUCAUUGCGGUUCCUAAUUUCGUUCGCAUUCAAAAUGAAUGGUGCAAAUGAAAUUCGGGACCAUAUCGCAGUGAUUGGAAUUAGAUGCGAUUGCGGUCAGCAUAAAAAGCUUUUUUUUAAUCUACAAAAAAAAACAAAAAAACAUAUAUAUUUUUGUUUUCAAAAUAUCUUUUUUGAAUCAAAA